rnacentral:sRNA from 1 species
UUCUAAAAAUAUUUCAAUGGGUCUUAUCACAGAUUCUUUUUUUUUAAAUUAAAGUAACAUUUCCAAUCUACUAAUGCUAAUACUGUUUCAUAUUUAUAGCUGAUUUGAUGGAGUUGGACAUGGCCAUGGAACCAGACAGAAAAGCGGCUGUUAGUCACUGGCAGCAACAGUCUUACCUGGACUCUGGAAUCCAUUCUGGUGCCACUACCACAGCUCCUUCUCUGAGUGGUAAAGGCAAUCCUGAGGAAGAGGAUGUGGAUACCUCCCAAGUCCUGUAUGAGUGGGAACAGGGAUUUUCUCAGUCCUUCACUCAAGAACAAGUAGCUGAUAUUGAUGGACAGUAUGCAAUGACUCGAGCUCAGAGGGUACGAGCUGCUAUGUUCCCCGAGACAUUAGAUGAGGGCAUGCAGAUCCCAUCUACACAGUUUGAUGCUGCUCAUCCCACUAAUGUCCAGCGUUUGGCUGAACCAUCACAGAUGCUGAAACAUGCAGUUGUAAACUUGAUUAACUAUCAAGAUGAUGCAGAACUUGCCACACGUGCAAUCCCUGAACUGACAAAACUGCUAAAUGACGAGGACCAGGUGGUGGUUAAUAAGGCUGCAGUUAUGGUCCAUCAGCUUUCUAAAAAGGAAGCUUCCAGACACGCUAUCAUGCGUUCUCCUCAGAUGGUGUCCGCUAUUGUACGUACCAUGCAGAAUACAAAUGAUGUAGAAACAGCUCGUUGUACCGCUGGGACCUUACAUAACCUUUCCCAUCAUCGUGAGGGCUUACUGGCCAUCUUUAAGUCUGGAGGCAUUCCUGCCC